AGGAAAAGAAACCAACAGGGAUUGCCUCAGUAACGGCGAGUGAAGCGGCAAAAGCUCAAAUUUUAAAGCUGGCACCUUCGGUGUCCGCGUUGUAAUUUUGUGAGGCAUCUCCGGGUAGGGCGCCGGCCUAAGUUCCUUGGAACAGGACGUCAUAGAGGGUGAGAAUCCCGUGCUUGGCUGGCUGUCCCCGUCCAUGUGAGGUGUCUUCGACGAGUCGAGUUGUUUGGGAAUGCAGCUCAAAAUGGGUGGUAAAUUUCAUCUAAAGCUAAAUAUUGGUGGGAGACCGAUAGCGCACAAGUAGAGUGAUCGAAAGAUGAAAAGCACUUUGAAAAUAGAGUUAAAAAGUACGUGAAAUUGUUGAAAGGGAAGCGCUUGAGACCAGACUUCGGUGGGGAGUGAUCAGCUGUCCUUCUGGGCGGUGCACUUGCUCCCCUCCGGGCCAGCAUCGGUUGGGACGGCGGGAUAAAGGUCCCGGGAAUGUGGCUCCUCUCGGGGAGUGUUAUAGCCCGGGUGAAUGCCGCCAGCCCCGACCGAGGACCGCGCCUUCGGGCUAGGAUGCUUGGCAUAAUGGUCUUCAGCGACCCGUCUUGAAACACGGACCAAGGAGUCUAACAUCUAUGCGAGUGUUUGGGUGUCAAACCCUUACGCGAAAUGAAAGUGAACGGAGGUGGGAACCCGCAAGGGUGCACCAUCGACCGGUCCCGAAGUCUUCUGAAGGAUCUGAGUAGGAGCAUAGCUGUUGGGACCCGAAAGAUGGUGAACUAUGCCUGAAUAGGGUGAAGCCAGAGGAAACUCUGGUGGAGGCUCGCAGCGGUUCUGACGUGCAAAUCGAUCGUCAAAUUUGGGUAUAGGGGCG
rnacentral:rRNA from 1 species